rnacentral:rRNA from 1 species
GACGAACGCUGGCGGCGUGCUUAACACAUGCAAGUCGAACGGAAAGGCCCUGCUUGCAGGGUACUCGAGUGGCGAACGGGUGAGUAACACGUGGGUGAUCUGCACUGCACUUCGGGAUAAGCCUGGGAAACUGGGUCUAAUACCGGAUAGGCGCCCGUUUUAGUGUGAUGGUUGGAAAGUUUUUGCGGUGUAGGAUGAGCUCGCGGCCUAUCAGCUUGUUGGUGGGGUAAUGGCCUACCAAGGCGGCGGCGGGUAGCCGGCCUGGGAGGGUGGACGGCGACAUUGGGACUGAGAGACGGCCCAGACUCCUACGUGAGGCAGCAGUGGGGAGUAUUGCACAAUGAGCGCAAGCGUGAUGCAGCGACGCCGCGUGGGGGAUGACGGCCUUCGGGUUGUAAACGCCUUUCGCGAGGGACGAAGCUUUUUGUGACGGUACCUAGAUAAGAAGCACCGGCUAACUACGUG